AUCAUGCCCCUUAUGACCUUGGUUACACACGUGCUACAAUGGACAGAACAAAGGGCAGCGAAACCGCGAGGUUAAGCCAAUCCCACAAAUCUGUUCUCAGUUUGGAUCGCAGUCUGCAACUUGACUGCGUGAAGCUGGAAUCGCUUGUAAUCGCGGAUCAGCAUGCCGCGGUGAAUACGUUCCCGGGCCUUGUACACACCGCCCGUCACACCACGAGAGUUUGUAACACCCGAAGUCGGUGAGGUAACCUUUUAGGAGCCAGCCGCCGAAGGGGGAUGAUGUG
rnacentral:rRNA from 1 species